ensembl:lncRNA
CCAUGUGUCCGUGUGUGUGCAUGUGUGUAAAACUACUAUCUCUCCAGUGGACUUACACUCCCUGUCUAACCGGACUCAGCCCAUCACUGGCUGUCACACACUCAAAAGAGCAACACACUCCCACAGCACUUGUGCUAACGCUAACACACACACACUCACACACACACUCCCAGCUAUCGUAAUCGGAGGGCACAGAAGAGGACUCUGGGCCCAUCUUAGACUAACCAACAAUCUGAGAAACAAUCUGUCGACUCCGGCGGCUCCGUCGAGACUCAAGCAGGCAAUCGUGGAGUCGGCUGAUUGCAAACCGGGGCUAAAAUUGCUUCAAAAAGCUGCUAAAUCCAAGCGCAGAUUAACCCACAGACACAGCUACUGUUGGCCUUGAGGAUGUCCCUGUACACUGACUCGAAUAAGCUCUCUUACCCCCUCAAUCAUCUGAUGGUGUGGGAGUUGAGCUUGAUAUCAUGCUUUCAGAGCGGCAGCAGGUGGCUUGGCUAACAGAGCGGUUAGCAAAGUGUCUGUAAGAGGCAUCAACACAAACUGCCGCAGUUACUGUGAUUUGAAAAUAUAUAUAUUUAUUUUUUUUAUUUAUUUUUUAAAUGUCAUGGGAUAAAUGGCAUGAGCGCUAUCUUGCUUGACUGCUGUUGUUUGACAUUUGAAGGAGAGUGAGUCAGAUUGCGGAUGAAACCUGUUGUGGAUAGAGGCGUUAGAACAGGAGAGAGAUUACCUACCAGUUUGAGAAGGGCCGUCUCGCUUUUGGCUGUCUCCAACCAGACGAGUGAAAGAAUAAAACUCCUCCGAAUUUCCCUGUGGUGACAGGAUAGAGAGAAAGAAAGAAAGAAAGAGAGAAGGAGAGAAAUGACAGACAGUGUUAGUGUGGGUUUGAACUGGUGUGUGUGUGUGUGUUAGUGUGUGUGUGUGCGUGUAGGGUUUGAACUGGUGUCGUGUUGAGUUCAUUAGCAACAGCAAACAGCAGAUGUGUGUUUGAACAACUUCCGCCGUCAUCUGUCUUUCGGGAGAGGACAGCGAAUGGAUUCUGAAACCAAAAAGCACUACAUUUCCAUACAAAUGUGCUUCAUGCCAUGAAUGGCUAAUAUCAACCGCUGUGUGUACAAAAGGGAAAUUGGCACUUCACCAAAUGAAGAAGGUUUUACAGAAUACAUUUGCCACCCCAUCCUAUUUUCUUUUUUCUUUUGCACAAAUAUCACAGCAGAUAUUUUAGGCCUGAAUAACUCACUUCUUAGACUUACUCCACUUCAUGUUCAAACUGCUUCCUCUCUCUAUACUGCUCUUACUCGUUGUCAUGCAGUUACCCCAUAGACAC